CACGUAGGGGACGAGCGUUGUCCGGAUUCAUUGGGCGUAAAGCGCACGUAGGCGGAUCGAUCAGUCAGGGGUGAAAUCCCAGGGCUCAACCCUGGAACUGCCUUUGAUACUGUCGAUCUGGAGUAUGGAAGAGGUGAGUGGAAUUCCGAGUGUAGAGGCGAAAUUCGUAGAUAUUCGGAGGAACACCAGUGGCGAAGGCGGCUCACUGGUCCAUUACUGACGCUGAGGUGCGAAAGCGUGGGGAGCAAACAGG
rnacentral:rRNA from 1 species